UUUAGUUUUACUUGCAUUUAAGAGCAGUUGGAGACCAUGGAAGGGGAGUUGUAUGGCAUUGAAGCUCGUCUGGAGGUUAGUUAACACAGUGUCCAAAGAAGGGCCAGAAGUAUACAGAAUGGUGUUGUCUGCAUAGAGGUGGAUCAGAGAAUCACCAGCAGCAAGAGUGACAUCAUUGAUGUAUACAGAGAAAAGAGUCGGCCCGACAAUUGAACCCUGUGGCACCCCCACCACUGAUCUGUCAGCAGCAGAAAGCCCUUCCCAACCGCUGCCCCGACAGCAGCAGAAAGCCCUUCCCAACCGCUGCCCCGACAGCAGCAGAAAGCCCUUCCCAACAGACAGACAGCACACUACUACAUUGCUAAACAGAGCGGUGCUAUAUAAAACUCCAAAUCAGCUUUCAUUUGGGCAGUGUUCCCUGUUGGCUUGCUGUUGUGACGUCACACUGCUGUGUUUUAUAGCACACUACCACAGUGACCUCCUGACCCUGACACAGUGACCCCCGACCUCGGACCUCUGUGUUUACACAGACAGUAUUGUAACACGGACGUAGCAUUAAAACGCAUAGGCCUAUGUAACGUGUGUAACAUGUAUGUGCUCUGCUGUAGGAGCACACUAUCCUGUAGUGUUCUUAACCUCCCCCCUCAAGAUUCAGAAAUGGCACCCUAUUCCCAAUAUAGGCCACUACUUUCUUUUGAUAUGCUGGAGACCUGAGUUAGAACCACCGCCUGUCGCAGAACCCUCGGUCUGUUGCAAUGGCGAUGCCUUUUGAUAUGCGGGAGACCUGAGUUAGAACCACCGCCUGUCGCAGAACCCUCGGUCUGUUGCCAUGGCGAUGCCUUUUGAUAUGCGGGAGACCUGAGUUAGAACCACCGCCUGUCGCAGAACCCUCGGUCUGUUGCCAUGGCGAUGCCUUUUGAUAUGCGGGAGACCUGAGUUAGAACCACCGCCUGUCGCAGAACCCUCGGUCUGUUGCAGAACCCUCGGUCUGUUGCCAUGGCGAUGCCUUUUGAUAUGCGGGAGACCUGAGUUAGAACCACCGCCUGUCACAGAACCCUCACUCUGUUGCCAUGGCGAUGCCUUUUGAUAUGCGGGAGACCUGAGUUAGAACCACCGCCUGUCGCAGAACCCUCGGUCUGUUGCCAUGGCGAUGCCUUUUGAUAUGCGGGAGACCUGAGUUAGAACCACCGCCUGUCACAGAACCCUCACUCUGUUGCCAUGGCGAUGCCUUUUGAUAUGCGGGAGACCUGAGUUAGAACCACCGCCUGUCACAGAACCCUCACUCUGUUGCCAUGGCGAUGCCUUUUGAUAUGCGGGAGACCUGAGUUAGAACCACCGCCUGUCGCAGAACCCUCGGUCUGUUGCCAUGGCGAUGCCUUUUGAUAUGCGGGAGACCUGAGUUAGAACCACCGCCUGUCGCAGAACCCUCGGUCUGUUGCCAUGGCGAUGCCUUUUGAUAUGCGGGAGACCUGAGUUAGAACCACCGCCUGUCACAGAACCCUCACUCUGUUGCCAUGGCGAUGCCUUUUGAUAUGCGGGAGACCUGAGUUAGAACCACCGCCUGUCGCAGAACCCUCGCUCUGUUGCCAUGGCGAUGCCUUUUGAUAUGCGGGAGACCUGAGUUAGAACCACCGCCUGUCGCAGAACCCUCGCUCUGUUGCCAUGGCGAUGCCUUUUGAUAUGCGGGAGACCUGAGUUAGAACCACCGCCUGUCACAGAACCCUCACUCUGUUGUUAUGGCGAUGCCCUAAAUAAGCUAGGGGACCAAACCCGUCCCUCCUUCCCUCCACCGCUCACUAGAAAAGAUAACUUGUCUUCUCUAUUAUGUCUUGUUGUUUCUUCUCCUUGGUGUCGUUAAACCAGUGUUCCUGAUUCAUGUGGUCAAUAUGUUGUUGUUGGGAUUUGUUAUUAUUAUUCUAUUUCAGUAUUGCUCUUUAAUGAUGAGUCAGUUUGUGAAUGAACUGGCUGACAACAGAUGUACAAACAGAACCAAUCACUUUAGACUAGGAGCCGUACGCAGACCAAUCACACGUCAGAAUAGGAGACAUACGGUUGAUCACCAGUUUGGGAUGGUAUAGACUGCUCUUAAUGCUGCAGUCUGUAAUUUAGCUCGUGCCCUGUGGUCACAGGACGAAAUGCACAAACAAUCAACGCUCAAAACAAACUUAUUAAGCCAAUCGAUGCAUAGACUCGUGAAGACCCUCUGUUUACAAACAAUUGUUGGUGUCAGAGUGUCAGUAGGGAGUAGGACUAACAGAGUGUUUAACUGCCACAGACCGACUGGUGUUCUCCAGUCCUUAUAACGGACGGUUAUUACACUUCAUAGACAGGUCAUAGAGGUGUCAGUAGGGAGUAGGACUAACAGAGUGUUUAACUGCCACAGACCGACUGGUGUUCUCCAGUCCUUAUAACGGACGGUUAUUACACUUCAUAGACAGGUCAUAGAGGUGUCAGUAGGGAGUAGGACUAACAGAGUGUUCUACUGCCACAGACCGACUGGUGUUCUCCAGUCCUUAUAACGGACGGUUAUUACACUUCAUAGACAGGUCAUAGAGGUGUCAUAGACAGGUCAUAGAGGUGUCAUAGAUGGGUCAUAGACAGGUCAUAGAGAGGUUAUAGACAGGUCGUAGAGGUGUCAUAGACGGGUCAUAGACAGGUCAUAGAGAUGUCAUAGACGGGUCAUAAAGGUGUCAUAGAGGGAUCAUAGACAGGUCAUAGAGGUGUCAUAGACAGGCCAUAGAGGUGUCAUAGACCGUUCAUAGACAGGUCAUAGAGAGGUUAUAGACAGGUCGUAGAGGUGUCAUAGACUGUCACAGCAGUGUCAUAGACAGCUCAUAGAGGUGUCAUAGACAGGUCAUAGAGUUGUCAUCGAUAGAGCUACCAUACAUUUCUGUCAGAUCUGUAUUAUGUAUCUCAUAGAUCAGACAGACAUGUUUUAGAACAUAUAGACAGGUUAACAUGUUAUAGAACUAUAAAAGACUUGUUAUGAACAUGUAAUAACUGGUCUACGGCACUGAGAGUCUGUCUCUACUGCCACAACACCAGACCUGUUAUACCAUGAUAUAAGUAUGUUAUGAACAUAUUAUAGAUGUUUAAUAAGGGUGGUCAGUCUCUCUACCUCCACAACACCAGACCUGUUAUACCAUGAUAUAAGUAUGUUAUGAACAUAUUAUAAAUGUUUAAUAAGGGUAGUCAGUCUCUACUGCCACAACACCAGACCUGUUAUACCAUGAUAUAAGUAUGUUAUGAACAUGUUAUGAACAUAUUAUAGAUGUUUAAUAAGGGUAGUCAGUCUCUCUACUGCCACAACACCAGACCUGUUAUACCAUGAUAUAAGUAUGUUAUGAACAUGUUAUAGAUGUUUAAUAAGGGUAGUAGUCAGUCUCUCUACUGCCACAACACCAGACCUGUUAUACCAUGAUAUAAGUAUGUUAUGAACAUGUUAUAGAUGUUUAAUAAGGGUAGUAGUCAGUCUCUCUACUGCCACAACACUGCCUCAGACGUUGCCAUGGAUGUGUUUUCUAAUGUAAAUAAGUCACUCCCACUUUCUACACUGCCCAUGGGCCUUUAUAAACCCUCUUCCUCUUCAUAGGAGCUCUAUAACAGCCUGCAUUGCUGCUCCAUACAUAGUGUUUAUAAUGCUAUAAGUGUUUCUGUGGAGCUGGCCAUUGGGAUGGACUACCAUCUACAGAGAGCAGGGUUUUGUUUCCACCAAGCAGUAACACACCUGAUGAUUCUACUUGUCAAAAUCUUUGAUUUAAUAUUACUGUGAUGAUGAUGAAGAUGAUGAUGUGUUUUCUAUGUGUCUGUCAUUUUAAUAACAAGCUUUUAUAUCAGUGAGA